rnacentral:rRNA from 1 species
GAUGAACGCUGGCGGCGUGCCUAAUACAUGCAAGUCGAGCGAACGGACGAGAAGCUUGCUUCUCUGAUGUUAGCGGCGGACGGGUGAGUAACACGUGGAUAACCUACCUAUAAGACUGGGAUAACUUCGGGAAACCGGAGCUAAUACCGGAUGAUAUUUUGAACCGCAUGGUUCAAAAGUGAAAGACGGUCUUGCUGUCACUUAUAGAUGGAUCCGCGCUGCAUUAGCUAGUUGGUAAGGUAACGGCUUACCAAGGCAACGAUGCAUAGCCGACCUGAGAGGGUGAUCGGCCACACUGGAACUGAGACACGGUCCAGACUCCUACGGGAGGCAGCAGUAGGGAAUCUUCCGCAAUGGGCGAAAGCCUGACGGAGCAACGCCGCGUGAGUGAUGAAGGUCUUCGGAUCGUGAAACUCUGUUAUUAGGGAAGAACAUAUGUGUAAGUAACUGUGCACAUCUUGACGGUACCUAAUCAGAAAGCCACGGCUAACUACGUG